rnacentral:rRNA from 1 species
GACGAACGCUGGCGGCGUGCCUAAUACAUGCGAGUCGAGCGGACCUCUUCGGAGGUUAGCGGCGGACGGGUGAGUAACACGUGGGCAACCUGCCUGUAAGACUGGGAUAACUCCGGGAAACCGGAGCUAAUACCGGAUAGUAUCUUGAACCGCAUGGUUCAAGUUGGAAAGACGGUUUCGGCUGUCACUUACAGAUGGGCCCGCGGCGCAUUAGCUAGUUGGUGAGGUAAUGGCUCACCAAGGCAACGAUGCGUAGCCGACCUGAGAGGGUGAUCGGCCACACUGGGACUGAGACACGGCCCAGACUCCUACGGGAGGCAGCAGUAGGGAAUCUUCCGCAAUGGACGAAAGUCUGACGGAGCAACGCCGCGUGAGUGAUGAAGGUUUUCGGAUCGUAAAACUCUGUUGUUAGGGAAGAACAAGUGCGAGAGUAACUGCUCGCACCUUGACGGUACCUAACCAGAAAGCCACGGCUAACUACGUGCCAGCAGCCGCCGUAAUAC